UACGGAGGGUGCAAGCGUUAUCCGGAUUCACUGGGUUUAAAGGGUGCGUAGGUGGCCGGGUAAGUCUAAUGUGAAAUCUCCGAGCCUAACUCGGAAACUGCAUCGGAUACUAUCCGGCUAGAGGAAUGGAGGGGAGACUGGAAUACUUGGUGUAGCAGUGAAAUGCGUAGAUAUCAAGUGGAACACCAGUGGCGAAGGCGAGUCUCUGGACAUUUCCUGACGCUGAGGCACGAAAGCUAGGGGAGCAAACAGG
rnacentral:rRNA from 1 species